GACGAACGCUGGCGGCGUGCUUAACACAUGCAAGUCGAACGAAGAGCGACGGAAGCUUGCUUCUGUCACUCUUAGUGGCGAACGGGUGAGUAACGCGUAAUCAACCUGCCCUUCAGAGGGGGACAACAGUUGGAAACGACUGCUAAUACCGCAUACGAUCUAACCUCGGCAUCGAGGAUAGAUGAAAGGUGGCCUCUACAUGUAAGCUAUCACUGAAGGAGGGGACUGCGUCUGAUUAGCUAGUUGGAGGGGUAACGGCCCACCAAGGCGAUGAUCAGUAGCCGGUCUGAGGGGAUGAACGGCCACAUUGGGACUGAGACACGGCCCAGACUCCUACGGGAGGCAGCAGUGGGGAAUCUUCCGCCAUGGACGAAAGUCUGACGGAGCAACGCCGCGUGAGGGAUGACGGCCUUCGGGUUGUAAAGCUCUGUUAAUCGGGACGAAAGGCCUUCUUGCGAAUAGUGAGAAGGAUUGACGGUACCGGAAGAGAAAGCCACGGCUAACUACGUG
rnacentral:rRNA from 1 species